GGGCUGGGGCUCAGUGGUAGAGCACUUGCCUAGCAUGUGUGAGGCACUGGGUUCAAUUCUCAGCACCACA
rnacentral:tRNA from 1 species